GGAUGUGAGGGCGAUCUGGCUGUGACAUCUGUCACCCCAUUGAUCGCCAGGGUUGAUUCUGCUGAUCGGGCUGGCUAGGCAGGUAUCCCCUUCCUCCCUCACCACUUUAUGUGUGACCCUCCCUCCCGAAGCUGCUCUCUCAGUCAAAGAGGACGACCAUCCCCAAUAGAGGAGGACCGUCUUUCUCGGUCAAGGGUAUACGAGCAGCUGCGCUCCCCUGCUAGAACCUCCAAACAAGCUCUCAAGACUAGAGAUGUUUUUAUGUCCCUAAGAAAUGAUCACAUAGAAAACGAUGAAUUUUU
rnacentral:snRNA from 1 species